AACGAACGCUGGCGGCAUGCCUAACACAUGCAAGUCGAACGAGACCUUCGGGUCUAGUGGCGCACGGGUGCGUAACGCGUGGGAACCUGCCCUUAGGUUCGGAAUAACUCCCCGAAAGGGGUGCUAAUACCGGAUAAUGUCUUCGGACCAAAGAUUUAUCGCCUUUGGAUGGGCCCGCGUUGGAUUAGCUAGUUGGUAGGGUAAAAGCCUACCAAGGCGACGAUCCAUAGCUGGUCUGAGAGGAUGAUCAGCCACACUGGGACUGAGACACGGCCCAGACCCCUACGGGAGGCAGCAGUGGGGAAUAUUAGACAAUGGGCGAAAGCCUGAUCCAGCAAUGCCGCGUGAGUGAUGAAGGCCUUAGGGUUGUAAAGCUCUUUUACCCGGGAUGAUAAUGGCAGUACCGGGAGAAUAAGCACCGGCUAACUCCGUG
rnacentral:rRNA from 1 species